CCUACGGGAGGCAGCAGUGAGGAAUAUUGGUCAAUGGACGAGAGUCUGAACCAGCCAAGUAGCGUGAAGGAUGACUGCCCUAUGGGUUGUAAACUUCUUUUAUAUGGGAAUAAAACGUUCCACGUGUGGGAUUUUGUAUGUACCAUAUGAAUAAGGAUCGGCUAACUCCGUGCCAGCAGCCGCGGUAAUACGGAGGAUCCGAGCGUUAUCCGGAUUUAUUGGGUUUAAAGGGAGCGUAGGUGGAUUGUUAAGUCAGUUGUGAAAGUUUGCGGCUCAACCGUAAAAUUGCAGUUGAAACUGGCAGUCUUGAGUACAGUAGAGGUGGGCGGAAUUCGUGGUGUAGCGGUGAAAUGCUUAGAUAUAACGAAGAACUCCGAUUGCGAAGGCAGUUCACUGGACUGCAACUGACACUGAGGCUCGAAAGUGUGGGUAUCAAACAGGAUUAGAUACCCAAGUAGU
rnacentral:rRNA from 1 species